CCGCACGGCUCGUCGGCGGCCAUCCUGCCUAUGCGGUCCGACGGAUCCUGGAUGCGCGCCGGCGCGGGCGGGGUUGGCAGUAUCUCGUGGACUGGGAGGGGUACGGCCCCGAGGACCGCCUCUGGGUCCCGCGCUCCUUCAUUCUGGAUCCCCGUCUCAUCUCUGCCUUCCAUGCUUCUCUCCGCAGGCAGCAGUCCGGCCGGCCGCCUGGGGGCGACCCUUGAGGGGGGGUACUGUCAUGGUCCGCGGCCCGGCGUCCGAGGAGCUGAUGCGAUGCUCACGCCCACGGGCGUGGCUGUUAACUCUACACCUGCAUCUCAUCCCAGGCGAUUAUCAGGUGGACUACUUGAUCCAGCCCAGCCUGCUGCUCCACGCCAGUCCGUAAUCGUCUCACAGCGAUAACUGCUCGGCGUGUUUUUGAGCCACCUGCCUGUCCACCUGCCCGCCUGGAGUUUUUUGAUCACCUUCAGUAUCCCUCACUUUGCUUUCCCUGGAGCUCCCCGCGGACCUUCACCCCUCCCUCCGGCUCUCACGGCCCCGCUUUGACUCCUCCCUCAGUCCCGUUUUCGGCGUUCCUGCGCGACUCUUCUCCCGGUGCCUUGGUUUCUCUAGUUUCACGUGUGUUUUCCUUAACCCUCCCGGGACACCUUUAGUUAGAAUAAAGUUUAUUUUCUCGUACUCCUGCGUGUGUGUUGGCUCUGCUUCUGGGUUCAGCUUGUGCACUGAACUUCGGU